AUUGAACGCUGGCGGCAGGCCUAACACAUGCAAGUCGAACGAGUGGCAGACGGGUGAGUAAUGUCUGGGAAACUGCCUGAUGGCGGGUGAUAACUACUGGAAACGGUAGCUAAUACCGCAUACCAUCCGAUGUUCCCAGAUGGGAUUAGCUAGUAGGUGGGGUAAAGGCUCACCUAGGCGACGAUCCCUAGCUGGGCUGCGAGGAUGACCAGCCAAACUGGAACGGAGACACGGUCCAGACUCCUACGGGAGGCAGCAGUGGGGAAUAUUGCACAAUGGGCGCAAGCCUGAUGCAGACAUGCCGCGUGUAUGAAGAAGGCCUUCGGGUUGUAAAGUACUUUCAGCGGGGAGGCGUUACCCGCAGAAGAAGCACCGGCUAACUCCGUGCCAGCAGCCGCGGUAAUUC
rnacentral:rRNA from 1 species